UAACUAAAAGUAUAAAGUGGGACUGUUACAUGUAACAGGAUCCUCCGGGUCAUCCUGGCGUCCAAGGUCCUCCUGGACAAAGAGGCCACAAAGGAGAACGAGGAUUUUCUGGCUUUAAAGGAGAACAAGGACCUCAGGGUAUUGCCGGUCCAGAGAUGACUGAUGCUACUCUUCAACGAUAUUUUAAGCCCGUUAAAACUUUGCAAAAUGAGGUUGAAAACUUGAGAAACAAAUUUGAAACAAUCA